CACGUAGGCGGAUAUUUAAGUCAGGGGUGAAAUCCCGGAGCUCAACUCUGGAACUGCCUUUGAUACUGGGUAUCUUGAGUAUGGAAGAGGUAAGUGGAAUUCCGAGUGUAGAGGUGAAAUUCGUAGAUAUUCGGAGGAACACCAGUGGCGAAGGCGGCUUACUGGUCCAUUACUGACGCUGAGGUGCGAAAGCGUGGGGAGCAAACA
rnacentral:rRNA from 1 species